rnacentral:sRNA from 1 species
UUAUACUAAAAAUAUAACAUGUCUUUAUUAACCAUGUCUUUGCAUAUUAAAUCUAAUCAUAUUUAACUUGAUGUUCUUGGAAAGUUUAGUUAAGUUCUUGUCAUAAUCUUAUAUCUUACAUAUUAGUUAUAAGGAUAGCUCCUCAAACAUCUUUCAAAAUACUUGUUUCUUAGCAUAAUUCUCGAAAAGCUUAGAUAUAUUUAAUCUGCAUAUUCAUUUAGUUUCUUUCAUAAUAAUCGUCUAAUUUUUAGGCAAGGAAUAUGUGUAACAUGUUUGGAUUUUAUGAUCACUUUAACCACUCAAGUAGAUCUCAAAAUUAAAGAGGAUAUAUUGAAUUAAAAAAAAUAUAAAAACUGUGAUGGUUCAAGUUCUGAUUAAUUAUAUCCUCUUAUUUUAGUUGUUAUGUUAAAUUAUUACUAAUUAUUUAUUACUAAUUAUUUAUUACUUAUUUUAUGAAGUUUAUGUGGCAAACUCUAUGUGCUAAUGUGUAAAGUCGUGAGAGAGAGUUAACAAUCCUUUCGAUUCAUA